rnacentral:rRNA from 1 species
GAUGAACGAGGGAGGAGGGAAGAAGACAGGACAGUCGAGCGAACAGACGAGGAGCUUGGGAUGGGGAAGGGUGCGGCGGACGGGUGAGUAACACGUGGAGAAAACACCUAUAAGACUGGGAUAACUUCGGGAAACCGGAGCUAAUACCGGAUAAUAUAUUGAACCGCAUGGUUCAACACUGAAAGACGGUUUUGCUGUCACUUAUAGAUGGAUCCGCGCCGCAUUAGCUAGUUGGUAAGGUAACGGCUGUCCAAGGCAACGAUGCGUAGCCGACCUGAGAGUGUGCUCAGCCACACUGGAACUGAGACACGGUCCAGACUCCUACGGGAGGCAGCAGUAGGGAAUCUUCCGCAAUGGGCGAAAGCUUGACGGAGCAACGCCGCGUGAGUGAUGAAGGUCUUCGGAUCGUAACCCGUUGUGAUUACGGAAGAACAAAUGUGUAAGUAACUAUGCACGUCUUGACGGUACCUAAUCAGAAAGCCCCGGCUCCCUACGUC